rnacentral:rRNA from 1 species
AUUGAACGCUGGCGGCCGGCCUAACACAUGCAAGUCGAGCGGAGCGGCGGACGGGUGCGUAAUGCCUAGGCAUCUGCCUGGUCGUGGGGGAUAACGUCCGGAAACGGGCGCUAAUACCGCAUACGCUAAGAUGAGCCUAGGUAGGAUUAGCUCGUUGGUGGGGUAAAGGGCUACCAAGGCGACGAUCCGUAACUGGCCUGAGAGGAUGAUCAGGCACACUGGAACUUAGACACGGGCCAGACUCAUACGUGAGGCAGCAUUGGGGAAUAUUGCACAAUGGGCGAAAGCCUUAUCCAGCCAUGCCGCGUGGGUGAAGAAGGUCUUCGGAUUGUAAAGCACUUUAAGUUGGGAGGCGUUACCAACAGAAUAAGCACCGGCUAACUUCGUGCCAGCAGCCGCGGUAAUAC